GCAGUCGUGGCCGAGUGGUUAAAGCGAAGGACUGGAAAUCCAUUGGGGUUUCCCUGCACAGGUUCGAAUCCUGUCGGCUGCG
rnacentral:tRNA from 1 species